rnacentral:rRNA from 1 species
UACGUAGGGGGCAAGCGUUGUCCGGAAUUAUUGGGCGUAAAGGGCUCGUAGGCGGUUUGUCGCGUCGGGAGUGAAAACACCGGGCUUAACUCGGUGCUUGCUUUCGAUACGGGCAGACUAGAGGUAUGCAGGGGAGAACGGAAUUCCUGGUGUAGCGGUGAAAUGCGCAGAUAUCAGGAGGAACACCGGUGGCGAAGGCGGUUCUCUGGGCAUUACCUGGCGCUGAGGAGCGAAAGUGUGGGGAGCGAACAGG